AUUGAACGCUGGCGGCAUGCUUUACACAUGCAAGUCGAACGGUAACAGGCCUUCGGGUGCUGACGAGUGGCGAACGGGUGAGUAAUGCAUCGGAACGUACCCAGAGGUGGGGGAUAACGCAGCGAAAGCUGUGCUAAUACCGCAUGUGAUCUGAGGAUGAAAGCGGGGGACCGAGCAGCAAUGUUUGGCCUCGCGCCUUUGGAGCGGCCGAUGUCGGAUUAGCUAGUUGGUGGGGUAAGGGCCUACCAAGGCGACGAUCCGUAGCUGGUCUGAGAGGACGACCAGCCACACUGGGACUGAGACACGGCCCAGACUCCUACGGGAGGCAGCAGUGGGGAAUUUUGGACAAUGGGCGCAAGCCUGAUCCAGCAAUGCCGCGUGCGGGAAGAAGGCCUUCGGGUUGUAAACCGCUUUUGGCAGGAACGAAACGGUGUCCGCUAAUACCGGGCGCUAAUGACGGUACCUGCAGAAUAAGCACCGGCUAACUACGUG
rnacentral:rRNA from 1 species